rnacentral:snoRNA from 19 species
AUGAUGAAAUUUCCAUACACAUUCGCAGUUUCCACUUGAGUCCCGAUCGAGCCUUUUUUGGGACAAAUGAAGGUUUAUUCUUCCUUGGAUGUCUGAUCAU